rnacentral:rRNA from 1 species
AUGAGCUCUUGGCAGGAGAACACCAGCCCCUGCAACUGGACAGGCUUAAUGUGUACGGCUGUUCGCCAUGGCCGCCACAUGCCCUGGGUGGUGACCAACAUCUCUCUGCCAGAUGCUGGCAUCCAUGGAAAGCUUGGUGAGCUCAACUUUUCGGCUCUUCCAUUCCUCUCAUAUAUCAACCUUCAUAACAAUAGUCUCCAUGGUGCACUACCCACUAGUAUCAGCUCGCUGUCAGCACUUUUAGAACUCAACCUUGAGCAGAACCAGCUCGUAGGGAAAAUUCCUUGUGAGAUGGGUGACCUGCAAAGUCUCAUGUUGUUUGAUCUCUCAUUAACAAACUCACAGGACAUAUCCCUGCAUCUCUUGGUAACCUAA